rnacentral:rRNA from 1 species
AUGUACGUCGUGAAGCGGGAUGGGCGGACGGAGAUGGUGCACUUCGACAAGAUCACGGUGUGGCUCAAGAAGCUCAGCUAUGGGCUCAUCCAGGAGCAUCGCGACCCCGUGAUCGGUCUGCGUCAGGUUUGCGGCGAGGAUUGUUGUGUCCAACCUGCCGCCAAGUGGAAAUAG